GAUGUUUCUGGAAAAGUCUCGUCAAGGCCUGGUCCACCGGCAAUAGACACUAGAACUGAGCCCAGGCUAGCUAGUUUCCAUGGCAACGGUGUUUCCAAAUUCCCAACCAGAACCUCACAUGCAGACCUUAUGUAUGGUGUGUCCCCCCCUCCUCUCCUCUUCAGGAAGCUGAGUAAUCCCGACCUAUCACCUGCAGCAGCGACCGCCACAAAAUCCAAACUUCACAGACAGCUCAGCCAGGAUGAGAAUGUGUUCUCUGUGUUUAGGAAUAUAACUGAUUCCUCUAACUUGCCUGCAGGUAAGCAGCUGCUGCCUCUGUCUAGCAGUCUGCACACAGGGGUGAGUCAGCUAGCCUGGCAAGGGGCCUCUGGAGAGGUGAACAACCUGGUCCGCAUGAGGAGCCAGGCUCUGGGACAGUCUGCUCCAUCACUCACUGGACUGAAGGAGUUGAGCCUUCCCAGAAGAGGCAGCUUCUGUCGGACGAGCAACAGGAAAAGCCUGAUAGUGACAUCUAGCACCUCCCCCACUCUGCCACGACCACACUCUCCUCUGCACGGGCACACAGGUACCAGUCCCCUCGACAGCCCUCGCAACUUCUCCCCGAACACAGCUGCACACUUCUCCUUUGUUCCUGCUCGCAGUCACGGACACAGGGCUGACAGGACGGAUGGCAGACGCUGGUCUCUGGCCUCCCUGCCUUCCUCUGGCUAUGGUACCAACACUCCCAGCUCCACUGUCUCGUCCUCCUGUUCAUCUCAGGAGAAACUGCACCAGCUGCCCUUCCAGCCCACGCCGGACGAGCUGCACUUCCUCACCAAACACUUCAGCUCAGAGAGCAUCACAGACGAGGAGGGACGCCGCUCCCCCGCCAUGAGACCGCGCUCCCGCAGCCUCAGCCCGGGACGCUCCCCCAUCUCCUUUGACCAUGAGAUUGUUAUGAUGAACCAUGUGUACAAGGAGAGGUUCCCUAAGGCGACGGCUCAAAUGGAGGAGCGACUGGCUGAGCUGCUCUCCUCCUCGGCCCCAGAGAAAGUCUGCCCACUGGCCGACGGGGUCCUGAGCUUCAUCCACCAUCAGCUGAUAGAGCUGUCAAGAGACUGCCUGGAGAAAAGCAGAGAGGGCCUCAUCACUUCUCGCUACUUCUACGAGCUCCAGGAGAAUCUGGAGAAGCUGCUGCAAGAUGCUCACGAGCGCUCAGAGAGUGUGGAGGUUACCUUUGUCACACAACUUGUAAAGAAACUGAUGAUCAUCAUUGCCCGGCCUGCACGCCUGCUGGAGUGUCUGGAGUUUGAUCCUGAGGAAUUUUACCACUUGUUGGAAGCAGCAGAGGGCCAUGCCAAGGAGGGCCAGGGCAUCAAGUCCGACAUCCCCAGAUACAUCAUCAGCCAGCUGGGCCUUACCAGGGACCCCCUGGAGGAGACCCGGCAGCGUUUCGCCAUGAAGAAGAUCAACAAACAGAACCUGAUUCUGAGAAACCAGAUCCAGCAGGCCUUUGUGGAACGAGACAUCCUGACGUUUGCUGAGAACCCGUUUGUCGUCUCUAUGUUCUGUUCUUUUGAGACUAGGAGGCACCUCUGCAUGGUGAUGGAGUAUGUAGAGGGUGGAGACUGUGCCACGCUGCUGAAGAAUAUUGGAGCCCUGCCGGUCGAUAUGGCUCGUAUGUACUUUGCAGAGACCGUCCUCGCAUUAGAGUAUCUUCAUAAUUAUGGCAUCGUCCACAGAGACCUUAAACCAGACAAUCUUCUCAUCACUUCGAUGGGACACAUUAAGCUGACAGACUUUGGUCUGUCUAAGAUUGGUUUGAUGAGUUUGACGACAAACCUGUAUGAAGGACACAUUGAGAAAGACACCAGAGAAUUCCUGGAUAAGCAGGUGUGUGGCACCCCAGAGUACAUCGCCCCAGAGGUGAUUCUACGUCAAGGCUACGGGAAACCGGUGGACUGGUGGGCGAUGGGAGUCAUCCUGUACGAGUUCCUGGUGGGCUGCGCUCCCUUCUUCGGAGACACACCAGAGGAACUGUUUGGGCAGGUCAUCAGUGAUGAGAUUAUGUGGCCUGAGGAGGAUGAAGCUCUGCCUCAGGAGGCUCAGGAUCUCAUCUCCAAACUGCUAAGACAAAACCCCCUGGAGCGACUGGGCACAGGAAGUGCCUAUGAGGUGAAGCAGCACCCAUUCUUCACAGAGCUGGACUGGAACAGCCUGCUGAGACAGAAAGCAGAAUUCAUCCCCCAGCUGGAGUCUGAGGACGACACCAGCUACUUUGACACUCGGUCUGAUCGGUACCACCACGUCGAUUCAGAGGAAGAAGACGACACCAACGAUGAUGAACACGUGGAGAUUCGGCAGUUCUCCUCCUGCUCACCUCGCUUCAGCAAGGUGUACAGUAGUAUGGAGCGUCUAUCCCUGCACGAGGAGAAGAGGACUCCUCCUCCCACCAAACGCAGCCUCAGUGAGGAAGGAGGAGAUCGCAUUGACAGCCUGAGUGGACUCAAGUCCAGAGAUCGAUCCUGGCUGGUGGGCUCUCCAGAGAUACUGCGGAAGCGUCUGUCAGUCUCUGAGUCGUCCCACACAGAGAGUGACUCCAGCCCACCUCUGACAGUCCGGAGACGCUGCUGCUCUGCUAUCAUUGAGAUGCCACGCUUUGCCAUCUCCUCUGAAGAGGAAGGAGGCAGUGGAAAAACACCUAAUCUGACCCCCCCCCCACUCACUUUUAUUCCUCCAUCCUCUGUCAAUGCAGCCGGCAGCUCAGGCGACGUGUCUGACCGCGCUAAUGGUGGCAAUGGCAGCAACGGUGGUACGGGUGGGGCUGCUAAAAGUGCAGCCGACAGUGACUCUCCAUCGACUCCAAAGGCCAUCAGUGACCUGGCUGCUCGCAGGGCUCGCCAUCGGCUGCUGUCAGGAGACACGGACAAGCAUACCACAACGCCGAGCUCCAGACCGCUGAACAAGGUCAUCAAGUCAGCGUCCGCCACCACCCUUUUGUUAAACACUGGCGUCCCCUCCCCACUAGCCAGCCCAAUGUCACCCCACUCGUUAUCUUCCAACCCAUCAUCACGAGACUCUUCUCCAAGCCGAGACCUGUCCCCUGCCGUGAGCAGCAUCAAACCUGCCAUCAUCAUCCACAGAGCGGGAAAGAAGUACGGAUUCACAUUAAGAGCCAUCCGCGUCUAUAUGGGAGACUCUGACAUCUACACGGUGCACCACAUGGUCUGGCAUGUGGAGGGGGGCGGUCCAGCCCAUGAAGCCGGGCUGAGGGAGGGCGAUCUGAUCACUCAUGUCAACGGAGAGCCGGUCCACGGUCUGGUUCACACUGAGGUGGUGGAGCUCAUACUGAAGAGCGGUGCCAAAGUGUCCAUCUCUGCCACCCCGUUUGAGAACACGUCCAUCAAAGUCGGCCCUGCCCGAAAAACAAGCCACAAAUCCAAGAUGGCGCGACGCAACAAGAAGACCAAGAACAAGGAGGGACAAGACAGUAAGAAGAGGACGUCUCUGUUCAGGAAGAUCACCAAGCAGGCGUCUCUCCUCCACACCAGCCGCAGUCUUUCUUCUCUAAACCGCUCUUUGUCCUCUGGGGAGAGUGGACCCGGCUCACCAACACACAAUCUGUCACCACGGAGCCCAACACAGGGCUACAGGUCCAUACCUGACUCUGCCCACUCAGUUGGUGGAAACUCAUCUCAGAGCAGCUCCCCCAGCUCUAGCGUCCCAAACUCCCCGGCAAGUUCUGGCCACAUCCGCCCCAGCUCCCUGCACGGUCUCGCCCCGAAGCUCCAGCGUCAGUACCGCUCUCCACGACGCAAGUCUGCUGGCAACAUCCCCCUCUCCCCUCUGGCCCGCACACCUUCACCCACACCUCAGAGCAGCUCACCUCAGCGCUCACCCUCCCCGCUGCCUAGCCACAGUCUGGGACAGGCUGCUGUGGGCCAGUCAUUCCCUGUGAAGCUCCACUCCUCCCCUCCCCUGGUGAGGCAGAUAUCCAGACCUAAAAGUGCAGAGCCUCCUCGUUCACCACUUCUCAAGAGGGUGCAGUCUGCUGAGAAACUGGCUAAGCUGCCAGUGGGAGCAGCUGUGGGGAGUCGUAAACACAGCCUGGACAUCUCACAUUCAGAGUUUAAGAAGGAGAUUCUGCAGAGGGAGCCGAGCCUGCAGAGGGACGGUGCCCUCGGCGCUGUAUCUGGCUCACUGGGCCUUGGCCCCGGGAAGAGUAAGCUGAAGGACAAACUGUCCGCCAUUCGACAGGACAGAGCAGAACGCAGGGAAUCGCUUCAAAAGCAAGAUGCCAUCCACGAGGUUGAUUCAUCUGAGGACGAGACAGAUGAGGGCUCAGAGGACAGCCAGGAUGGACGCAGGGGGACGACUUUUACCCCUCCCCCCCUCCUGAGGCCCACCACUGUGAGAACAGGCCCUGGGGGCACUCUGCCGUCCCUCUGCCUCUCCCCAUCCACUCCCCACGCCACAUUCACGCACACUGGGCCCUCACAGAUCGGCAGACCCACUCCCUCACACACCCUCCCCUCCGUUUCCGAAACAAAGUCUGCACAGAGCUUGUCAUCGGUGGGAGUAAAGGAGGGGAGCUCCAGCUCCUCAACAGAAGAGGGUGCAAGACAAGAGAGGAGGGUUCUGGAGCCAAGCGGUACCACCAAACCCACUCAGGGUCCCCUUCCCUUCUCCACUCCAGGCAGUGCAUUCAUCUCCGUCAGCAAGGACAUGUUCCUCAAGCCAACUCCUCCACAAGACUCAAAGGGCCUCAGAGGGAAGACGGGACCAUCAGAGCUCAGAGCAGAGGAUCAAACCCUGGAUAGCCCUAGAACCACUGCUCCAUCAACGACGAGCAAUACAAGUACUCCUGACUGCAGAACUACAACUAAGUCCCCAGACUCCCACACCGCCACAAGCACUACAGACAGCCAAGAGACUCCCCGCACGUCCUGCUCCUCUCCAGGCAUCCCCAAAGAGAAGAAGGAGGCCGACAACCGGAGACUAUGUGCCGCCGCUGCAGCUGCAAGUCUGAGUGCGUCUUCUUCGCCCAAUUCUAGCUCCAACUCAAGCUCCAGCUCCCCGGUUCCACCCUCUGAGAGUGGGGUAGACAGAGUUGUGUCCCAGCUUGCUACAGUAGCUAAAUCCGUUCUUGGUCCUGUUAAACUCAGCAGUGUUUCUGACAGAAAGGACCCGAAGCCAUCCAGAGGAGCAACCCCAGAAGUGCCCCAUACUGACCCCCUUUCAUUCCACUCCAAACAGGUCCCAGCUCCACAUCUAUCUCCGACCAGGCAGAGAACUGAGCGAGUUGCCUCUCCAGCAACCUCCCAGAGGUCAGCCAGAUCUUCAGCCCAGAAAGACUGUGCAGCCCCAGCACCGCCAUCCUGCAAGGACGUCCCAGGGUCUGUGGAUAGAGAGAAUGCUGCCACCUCUGCAUCUGUACAGCAGCUGGGUGCCGCUGCAGCUCAGGCCGCCCUCAAUGCAAGCCUCCCCGUCUCUGCAGCAUCUGAGCCACAGCGCAAGCGGUCCGAGCCCCAGACAGCAACUGUCACCAACGUCAUGUCCGCCUCCUCGCAACAAGACAAAGCAACCAGCAAGAAGACGUAG
rnacentral:lncRNA from 1 species